GGUAAGGCCCUUUCGGGGGUACACGAGCGGCGAACGGGUGAGUAACACGUGGGUGAUCUGCCCUGCACUUCGGGAUAAGCCUGGGAAACUGGGUCUAAUACCGGAUAUGACCAAAGGCUGCAUGGCUUUUGGUGGAAAGGUUUACUGGUGCAGGAUGGGCCCGCGGCCUAUCAGCUUGUUGGUGGGGUAAUGGCCUACCAAGGCGACGACGGGUAGCCGACCUGAGAGGGUGACCGGCCACACUGGGACUGAGACACGGCCCAGACUCCUACGGGAGGCAGCAGUGGGGAAUAUUGCACAAUGGGCGAAAGCCUGAUGCAGCGACGCCGCGUGAGGGAUGACGGCCUUCGGGUUGUAAACCUCUUUCAGCAGGGACGAAGCGAAAGUGACGGUACCUGCAGAAGAAGCACCGGCCAACUACGUGCCAGCAGCCGCGGUAAUACGUAGGGUGCGAGCGUUGUCCGGAAUUACUGGGCGUAAAGAGCUCGUAGGCGGUUUGUCGCGUCGUCUGUGAAAACCAGCAGCUCAACUGCUGGCUUGCAGGCGAUACGGGCAGACUUGAGUACUGCAGGGGAGACUGGAAUUCCUGGUGUAGCGGUGAAAUGCGCAGAUAUCAGGAGGAACACCGGUGGCGAAGGCGGGUCUCUGGGCAGUAACUGACGCUGAGGAGCGAAAGCGUGGGUAGCGAACAGGAUUAGAUACCCUGGUAGUCCACGCCGUAAACGGUGGGCGCUAGGUGUGGGUUUCCUUCCACGGGAUCCGUGCCGUAGCUAACGCAUUA
rnacentral:rRNA from 1 species